CCGGACCACCAGUCUCCCUCAGGCCGCCAGAAGAGAAGGAGGUUUGCACGCGUGUGUGUGUGUGCGUGUGUGUGUGCGCGCGCGUCUCUCCAGUGACCAUAGUUUCUCUCCACCUCCUCCUCCUCCUCCUGCAUGUAUCGAUUUUGAGGGAAGAAGAAGAGGAGGAGGAGGAGGAGAAGAAGAAGAGAGAAGAUAAAUUUGGAAAAAGACUAAACGACCUACCACUCCCUCUCACUUGAAGAGAGAGGGAGAGGGAGAAAGCGAGAGAAAGAAAGAGAGAGAGAGAAAUGAAGAAAACCGGAUGUUAUCUCUCAUUUAUCAUCGUCUUUUCUUUCAUCUUCUUUCUUUAUUUGAUUCCUUCAUCACAAUGGGGAGAUAAUGAUGCAAGAGAUGACAGAAGAGGAGAAGGAGGAGAGGAAGGAAGAGGAGUAGGAGGAGGAGGAGGAGGAGGAGAGUCUAUCCUUCCGUUCAAUUUUCCUCAUCCAGUAGAAACGAUGACUGACCAAUCACCAUACAGCUUCUACGAGGAGGAGCGGAUGUACCAAACAGGGAGUGAAGGGGAGGUGGAGAAGGAGAUAGCGAUGAGAGAAAGUGUUUUGAUAUCUCACGCCAAACGGGCCGCCUCUCUUUCCAUUCAGCGGUCUCUCUCUCUCCCUGCAUUCAUUAGUGGCAGGUACCGAUGGCUACCAGACGGGGUGGAGCACGACCUCUUGUACACAGACAGGGACUCGGAGGUCACAAAAAGGGUCGUCUUAUUCCAGAAGCUGGGUCAGGCAGAGGUCGUUAGAGUCAUUGAGGUGGAGAGUGUCAAGCCUAUUCACAUUAUCAUCGCUCUUAAGGGACGUUUGGACAAAUACACAACAUUUCUGCAUCAUCUGGCUACCACAAUCUUGCCACACGAUCCACACCUCACUCUCACAGUCAGUUACUUCGACACCAACAUUGAACUGGCUAGGAACAUCACUGCAGCUCAAAUGGCCAGCUUCCCCAACUUCAAAUGGACGCUGGUGCCGCAAGGAGAUGCCUCGGGGCCCCAGGGGUUCUCCAGGGGCAAGGGUCUUCACGUGGCUGCCGUCAAAGCAACGAAAAAGAAAAGUGAUAUAAUAUUUUUCUGUGAUGUUGAUGUGCUAAUGAAACUUGAUUUCCUGACGAGAUGCAGGGCUAACGCGCUGUAUGGGAGGCAGGUAUACUACCCAAUGGUCUUUUCGCUGUACAACCCGAAGCUGGUGUACCCCCUGCAAGACCAGAAGGUACCCCCUAUUCCUGAACAACUCAAGGUCACAGAGGAAACUGGAUUUUGGCGCAAAUUUGGUUUUGGAAUGACUUGCAUGGCCAGGGGGGACUACGAGGCUGCUGGGGGGUUCCUGGAUAUCAGAGUGUGGGGGGGGAAGACGAGGCUCUAUAUCAGCAGUUUCUUAUGAAGGAUUAUAUUAAGGUGAUCCGCACCCCUGAUCCAUCUCUCUUCCAUCUGUACCACAAGAAGGAAUGUGUGGAGACGGGAGAUGCUGCUUAUGUGUCGUGUCUAAAGUCCUUCGCCAACACUGAGGGCUCGAAGACACAGCUCGGACUGGCAGUACUCAAGAUGCAGCAUGGGACUGAUAUUGAGGGUGUGCUUAGUAAGAGGUUCUACUAUUUCUGGCUGGUUCCUUACUUAAGUGGCCUGCUGGUGGUGUCCCUGCUAACCAACGCUAUCCUGGCCCUCCUGCUGGUGAUCUUCGUCCGCAGAAUGUACGGAUUCAAGAUUCUAUAGGGUGUAACAAGCCGUGACGUGAAAGUACAGCAUCAAGAGGCGGUACAGGUGUUAUAGGAAAUUGUGGUUAGGUCAUCUUCACCUGUCUAGUCUGCUGCGGUGUACGUGUGUGUGUCCGAAGGCUAUACACGCAUACACGCACACAAACGUACGAGGUUGUGCCAUAUUUUUUAUCUUGGGUGUAGAAAAUGUUGUUGUUUUUUGUUUUGCUGUGUACGUUCAUAUAUACGUCUCCUCCCUGUUGUCCCCCCUCCCAUACAGGUGAGAGAUCAAGAGUAUUAGUGUUAAUUGUACCUGCAUAGACUUGUAUAGUAUUAUUGUUGUAUUACCCUCCAGGGCAUUGCAGUAUCAAUUUUUUUCCCUCCACUAGUUUGGUUUUCCUUCAUAUCUUCCUCCAUGUUUUACCUCCACACUUGUCCUCCCUCACAGACCUUCCUUGAUCUUUCCUCCACCUUUCCACCAAACCACAACACCCUACCACACUUACUUCUCCAUAAAAAAAAACAAUAAUAAUAAUAAUUUAUUGGAUUCAUCACAGACAAUUUUUUUCCUCCACCACUAGUUCAUUUUUCCUUCAUAUCUUCCUCCAUGUUUUACCUCCACACCUGUCCUCCCUCACAGACCUUCCUUAAUCUUUCCUCCACCCCUCCACCAAACCACAACACCCUACCACACUUACUUCUCCACAAAAAAAACAAUAAUCUAUCGGACUGUCACAUCACAGGCAAUUUUUUUCCUCCACCAUGUUCAUUUUUCCUUUAUAUCUUCCUCCAUGUUUUACCUCCACACCUGUCCUCCCUCACAGACCUUCCUUAAUCUUUCCUCCACCCCUCCACCAAACCACAACACCCUACCACACUUACUUCUCCACAAAAA